UACGUAGGGCGCAAGCGUUGUCCGGAUUUAUUGGGCGUAAAGAGCGUGUAGGCGGCCUGACAGGUCUGCUGUGAAAACUCGAGGCUCAACCUCGAGAUGUCGGCGGAAACCGUCUGGCUAGAGUCCGGAAGAGGAGAGUGGAAUUCCUGGUGUAGCGGUGAAAUGCGCAGAUAUCAGGAAGAACACCUAUGGCGAAGGCAGCUCUCUGGGACGGUACUGACGCUGAGACGCGAAAGCCGUGGGGA
rnacentral:rRNA from 1 species